rnacentral:rRNA from 1 species
UACAGAGGUGGCAAGCGUUGUUCGGAAUUACUGGGCGUAAAGGGCGCGUAGGCGGUCUUGUAAGUCCCGUGUGAAAUCCCUCGGCUCAACUGAGGAACUGCACGGGAAACUGCUUGGCUUGAGUUCGGGAGAGGGAAGCGGGAAUUCCGGGUGUAGCGGUGAAAUGCGUAGAUAUCCGGAGGAACACCGGUGGCGAAGGCGGCU